AUAUAACUAAGCGGAGGAAAAGAAACUAACAAGGAUUCCCCUAGUAACGGCGAGUGAAGCGGGAAGAGCUCAAACUUAAAAUCUCUAUAUUUUAAAUAUAGCGAAUUGUAGUCUAUUGAAGUGUGAUCAGUGAGAUUCUUCAGGCUAAGUCCCUUGGAAGAGGGCAGCAAAGAGGGUGAUACUCCCGUCUUUGUCUGUUGAAACUUUGCGUACGAUCCAUUUUCAACGAGUCGAGUUGCUUGGGAAUGCAGCUCUAAGUGGGUGGUAAAUUCCAUCUAAAGCUAAAUAUAUGUGCUAGACCGAUAGCGAACAAGUACCGUGAGG
rnacentral:rRNA from 1 species